GAAUCCACCUGCUAAUGCAGGAGACACAGGAGAUACGGGUUGGAUCCCUGGAUCAGGAAGAUCCCCUGAAGGAAGAAAUGGAACUCCAGUGUUCUUGCCUAUAAAAUCCCAGAGGCAGAAGAGCCUGGCAGGCAAAUUUGUAGGAACUCUUUUGGAUCAACUUACCUAACAGAACUAUGAGAGGUGCUUGACCAGCAUAUUUCGGCAACCAAUGGGUGCUCAAGCGACAUUCAUUGACUUUGCUGCUACGCUAAAAGGGGCUCCGAUGUCACAGAGUAAUGCUGAGCAUCCGCUUACCCUGGGUCCUCCAUGGCUGAGGUUGCCAUUUGGUCAAAAUGUUAGCAAACGCGAGCCUUGUCACAAGCCUUAUCAGGCACUAAAAGUCAAUUAUCUAGAGUCCUCUCCUCACCCAGAAGGGGAGCUUCUUCGAUGGCACAUGCGCGGAGAACAAGGGCACCGCCGCGGUCGAUAGUUCCCGGGAAAAUGGACGGCCUCGUCCACCUAAUGGAUCUCUCCAAUACCCUUCAAUGGGAUCCAACUUGGGAUUAGUCACGCAGCAGAUUUUUCAACAGUUCCUCUAGACUCUGCUUUCUUUCAAAGCAAUUUGGUAAAUGUCAGCUGAGAGAUUCAGCUUACUUUCAUGAUUUAAGGACUUUUUUUUUUUUAGUUUUUUAAGACUCUGAGGUGUUCUUUUGCUUUUUGUCUUUGAAGCCAUGGUAGUUUUGAUUUUUGUAUUACUUAAUUCCCCAUAUACCCCUCACCAUCCCCUAAUGUUUUAACAUUCAGAUCAGUUACUGUAGUACAUUUGUCACAAUUAGGACACCAGUAUAGACACAUCUAGACUUGAUUCGGAUUUCAUCAGGUUUCCAAUUAUGUUCUUUCUUUUCCAAGAUUCAAUCCAGGGAAUGAUACUGCAUUUAGUCAGCCUGUCUCCUCAGUCUCCCCUGGUCUGUGACAGUUUCAUAGUCUUUUUAAUAACCUUCACAUUUUUGAAGAGGAAUUGGUCAGGUGUUUCAUAGAACAUCCCUCAGUUUAGGUUUGUCUGAGUUUUUUUCAUGAUUACCUUGGGGUUAUGGGUUUUGGGAAAAGAGGCUGCAGAUUUAAAGUGACUUGCUCACUGUGUUAUAUCAAAUGGGGUACCAGCUAUUAGUGUAACAUCACUGGCAAUGCCAACCUUGAUCCCCUGGCCAGACAGUGUUAACCAGGUUUUCCCCUGAAAACCUUUUUAUUUUUCUUUUCUUUGAAAUCAGCCAAGUCAAAGCUAUGGUUUUUGCAGUAGUCAUGUAUGAAUGUGAAAGUUGGACUAUAAACAAAGCUGAGCACUGAAAAAUUGAUGCUUUUGAACUAUGGUGUUGGAGAAGACUCUUGAGUGUCCCUUGAACUAUAAGGAGAUGCAACCAGUCAAUCCUAAAGGAAAUAAGUCCUGAAUAUUCAUUGGAAGGACUGAUGCUAAAGCUGAAACUCCAAUACUUUGGCCACCUGAUGGGAAGAACUGACUCAUUGGGAAAGACCCUAAUGCUGGGAAGGAUUGAAGGUGGGAGGAGAAGGGGACGAUGACAGAUGGUUGGAUGGAUGUGAGUUUGAGUAGGCUCUGGGAGUUGGUGAUGGACAGAAAAGCCUGGUGUGCUACAGUCCAUGGGGUCACAAAGAGUUGGACAGGACUGGGCAACUGAACUGAACUGAAGCCUAAAAUGCAGUUAUCAGAUUCAGAGGGUAUUUCUAAACAUUGUGUUGUUCAAGAUACUAAAAUGUAAAGUGUCGUUAUUAUGUUAAUCUUCAUAGUAGGCUGGGGAAAGCAGAGUGGAAAGUAUUUGGAGGAGAAAAGAGAAAGGAUAUAAACUUACUUCAAGUUAAACUUUUAUUUCCAAAUUCUAUAGUAAGACAUUUCUUUCAGAUACUAAUCUACGCUGAACAACUGGUUGAUUUCAGCAGUACAGGAUUCAGCCUCAGAAGCUUCUGUUAGUUAUGAGCAAGGCAAGCUGAACCACUUUAGAGUUUUAUGUUGAAAUUAGCAAUUGCUAACUGAAAUUGUCAACUUCAUAUCCAAAAAAAAAGAAAAAGCAAGACUACAGGUCUGUGUAAUUCAUUUAUCUACAUCUUGGUGGGGGGAAGCAAAAAGAACAUUUUAAUCUAUUUAAAAUCUUACUGAGGCAGCACCUAGUGCAUAAGUAAUGUUCCUGUGUAUUCUUCAUGCUAGCAAAAUCUGCCCUGUGCUAAAGCCUUGCUCCUCAAAGUGUGAUUCACAAACCAGCUGCAUGCACGUCACCCAGGAGAAAUGCAGAGGCUGAGGUCCCACUGUAGACCUACUGAAUCUAGAGCUGCCUGUAACUAGAUCCCUAAGUGCUGGAGAGGCAUACUGAUGUUUGGGAAGUGCUGCUGUAGAGAAUGUUACUCAGGAAAGCUUAACUGUGAAAGAUAAACAUGGGCCUAAUCAAAAGCACGUGUAUGGGCUUUCAUCUCUCUACCUUCAAGCCAAUGACAGUCUGUACAUUUUCAAAGCACAGUUUGCUAAAGCAGUUGAUAGUAUUGCUUGGUUUGCGAAUUAUGCUAUGUGAUUUACCUUGCAAAAGCAAAACUGUUCUCUUGAACAGAUAUGCUAGUUUAUAGCUUGAGGUAGUCAAUGCACAAAGAGAUAUGCUGUAACAUAAUCUUUCUUAAAAAAAUAAUGGGUGGAAACAUAAAGAUCCAAACAGAAUCUGACAAAACAUGAGCCAUAAAAAUAUAUAUAAAUUGGAGUACAUUAAAAUCAAGAAUUGUUUAUCAGAAGACACCAUUAAGAGGAAAAAGGAAACACAUAGAAAGGGAGAUGACAUUUGUAAUUAAUAUAAUUGAUAAAGUAUUUGGAAGAUAUAAAGAAUGAGUCAAUAAGAAAAAAAGAAAGACUCAGCAUUCAAAAUUUGAAAAAACAUUCUCGGUUUACAAAUAAAGAUCUGUAAAUGGUGCUACACAAAUACAGAGGAGUCCAAUCUUAUCAGAAAUAAGGAGAGAAAGUUAUGAUGCCAAACCACUACUACUUAACCACUAGAAUAACUAAACAAAAGUAAAUGGAAAACCAACGCAAAGUAAACUCCAGGAGUUGGCAGUGGACAGGGAGGCC
ensembl:lncRNA